rnacentral:rRNA from 1 species
UGGGGAAUAUUGGUCAAUGGAGGGAACUCUGAACCAGCCAUGCCGCGUGCAGGAAGACGGCCCUCUGGGUUGUAAACUGCUUUUAUUCGGGAAUAAACCACAUUACGUGUAGUGUGCUGAAUGUACCGAAGGAAUAAGGAUCGGCUAACUCCGUGCCAGCAGCCGCGGUAAUACGGAGGAUCCAAGCGUUAUCCGGAAUCAUUGGGUUUAAAGGGUCCGUAGGCGGUUUAGUAAGUCAGUGGUGAAAGCCCAUCGCUCAACGAUGGAACGGCCAUUGAUACUGCUAGACUUGAAUUAUUAGGAAGUAACUAGAAUAUGUAGUGUAGCGGUGAAAUGCUUAGAUAUGUCACAGAACACCGAUUGCGAAGGCAGCUUACUAUGGUUUAAUUGACGCUGAGGCACGAAAGCGUGGGGAUCAAACA